rnacentral:rRNA from 1 species
GACGAACCGUGCAAACGUUGUUCGGAAUCACUGGGCUUAAAGGGCGCGUAGGCGGGGGGACCAAGUCCGGGGGUGAAAUCUUUCGGCUCAACCGGAAAACUGCCUUGGAUACUGGUCUUCUUGAGGGAGGUAGGGGCAGGUGGAACUUCCGGUGGAGCGGUGAAAUGCGUUGAUAUCGGAAGGAACGCCGGUGGCGAAAGCGACCUGCUGGAUCUCUUCUGACGCUGAGGCGCGAAAGCUUGGGUAGCAAACGGG